UACGAAGGGGGCUAGCGUUGCUCGGAAUCACUGGGCGUAAAGCGCACGUAGGCGGCUUGUUAAGUCAGGGGUGAAAUCCUGGAGCUCAACUCCAGAACUGCCUUUGAUACUGGCGAGCUUGAGUCCGGGAGAGGUGAGUGGGAACUGCGAGUGUAGAGGUGAAAUUCGUAGAUAUUCGCAAGAACACCAGUGGCGAAGGCGGCUCACUGGCCCGGUACUCGACCGCUGAGGUGCGAAAGCGUGGGGAGCAA
rnacentral:rRNA from 1 species